rnacentral:misc_RNA from 1 species
GAUGAAGAACGUAGCGAAAUGCGAUAAGUAGUGUGAAUUGCAGAAUUCAGUGAAUCAUCGAAUCUUUGAACGCACAUUGCGCCCGCCAGCAUUCUGGCGGGCAUGCCUGUUCGAGCGUCAUUUCAACCCUCGAGCCCCCCCGGGGGCCUCGGUGUUGGGGGACGGCACACCAGCCGCCCCCGAAAUGCAGUGGCGACCUCGCCGCAGCCUCCCCUGCGUAGUAGCACACACCUCGCACCGGAGCGCGGAGACGGUCACGCCGUAAAACGCCCAACUUCUUAGAGUUGACCUCGGAUCAGGUAGGAAUACCCGCUGAACUUAAGCAUAUCAAUAAGCGGAGGA